UACGUAGGGGGCAAGCGUUGUCCGGAUUUAUUGGGCGUAAAGAGCGUGUAGGCGGCUUCACAGGUCCGCUGUGAAAACUCGAGGCUCAACCUCGAGCUGUCGGUGGAAACCGUGUGGCUAGAGUCCGGAAGAGGAGAGUGGAAUUCCCGGUGUAGCGGUGAAAUGCGCAGAUAUCGGGAAGAACACCCGUGGCUAAGGCGGCUCUCUAGUACGGUACUGACGCUGAGACGCGAAAGCGUGGGGAGCGAACAGG
rnacentral:rRNA from 1 species